rnacentral:rRNA from 1 species
UACGUAGGGUGCAAGCGUUGUCCGGAAUUAUUGGGCGUAAAGAGCUCGUAGGCGGUUUGUCGCGUCUGCUGUGAAAACUCGGGGCUUAACCCCGGGCCUGCAGUGGGUACGGGCAGACUAGAGUGCGGUAGGGGAGACUGGAAUUCCUGGUGUAGCGGUGAAAUGCGCAGAUAUCGGGAGGAACACCAGUGGCGAAGGCGGCGACCUGGGCCAAUACUGACGCUGAGGUGCGAAAGCGUGGGGAGCAAACAGG